GUAGCUAUGAUAUUACAAAGUAAUAGCAUAGCAUAUUGGAACGAUUAUUGAUGAAAUGUCCCUCAACUCCUCAAAACUUGAGAGAUUUAGUAAGGCUUUUACUAAACCGCCCUCCGCUUUCGAGUACAUUUAAUCACUAAUCACCCUAAUGCCAAUGCUAUUACUUCUAUAGUUAUAAUAAUAAUAAUACAAACAGAACUUUGACGUUUCGAUGGGAAGUUACAGUGAAAUAAAUUUAUUGCAUAAAAACUGUAAAAUAAUUUUAAUACCAUAUAGUAACAUUUUAAACAAGCCAGGCAUUCUAACUUUCGUGACACUUAUGCGUCAAC